rnacentral:miRNA from 1 species
UAAUACUGCCUGGUAAUGAUGGC